UUUGGGAGUUGUAGGCCCCGUGGAAGUGUAGGCCCCGUGGAGGUGUCUGGGAAAUGCGGUCUCCCAAGCUUUCAUAAUCUAUGCUCUACUACUGCUAAAUCCUUAACCCGCUUGAUCUAAUUUAAUCCUCACAAUUGAGAGGAGAACAAACAGGUCCUGGGGCCAGCCGGGGCAGUCUGCGGGCCGGGAAGCCUGGGAUUCGAACUCCCCUCCAACAUCUGCAGUUGUCCCAGCGCCCCCGC